rnacentral:lncRNA from 1 species
CUUCACACAGUUGCGACACGGAUUGUGCCUUGUGGCUGACUAAACUGUCAAAAUAUGGCAACAGAGAUGAACAUAUUAUUGUUGCAGUUAAUGGCUAUAAAGACUAUAUUAUAAAGCAUUUAUAAUUAACCAGCGAAAAAGCAUGUUCACGAGAAUAUAAAUUUGCAGUUAACAUUAAGUUUGCACUUAAUCGACUACAAAACAAUGCCAAUGGCGAGCUAGCCAUAGCAACAGGGCCAACAGGUCAUGCGCUAUACUAAUUUUUAAUUAUUUGCAUUAUUGAAAGUUCAAAUCUUUACUUAGAAAUGUAUAUAUAGUCUUGAAUCUAGUUUAGAUGACGGUUUAUUAGCAUAGCAUGACCAGUUUCCACGGCUAGCUCAGUGGCCACUGCUACAAAGCAUCUAUACAAAAUAUCUCACAAUACCCUCGGCCUCGACAUUUUAACUGUUGACAUUUAAUACUCUGCCCUUGCGCUCGAAAGUCGAAAUUGUACCAUCGCCUUCGACAUUUAAAAUCUUACCUUCACCCUCGACGCUUGACGAAUAGAUAGGCCUAAACUCCGAUACAAUAUAUACCUUCGAAAAAGAAAAUAAAGUACUUCAAUCGAUCAUGCCGUAUCCAAAAUGAAUUGUAUAAUCAGUGUCAUCCUUCCUGUGAAAACAAAGAAAUAUCCGAUGACGCAUAUAUAAAAGAAUUUGUACAAUCUCUUGAGUGAAUUAUUUGGCUAAAUCGUUUCGAGUAUACCGGACGCCAAUUUGUAUUUGGUAUUUGGGAUAUACUUGCAUUUAACUCUAUUUAACUCUAUUGUCUAUCAAUAUGUCGGAUCCACUGAAUACUGCAGCGUUCAACGUUUCCUCUGGUGAUUGGGAAAUCGAGAGUUGUUUCAUGACAUAUAUCGUUCGUAAGCCGACAACAUCGUAUAUUAUAAACAGCAUAUUUGGUUGCAUCGUGAACGCUAUCUUAGCAAUUCUAGGAACAUUUCUGAAUGCUCUGGUCGUGGCCGUUUUCUGGAAAACUCCGAAAUUACGAAAUAAAGUGGCCUAUUUCAUGAUAAUGGUCUUAUCUUGUAUUGACAUGUGUGUGACAAUAAUUGUCCAUCCGUUUCAUUUGGUCAAUUCGAUAGCUGAGAUUACCCAGACUUCGCACUGCAUUUACAAAAUGGUUUACCAAACGUCAGCAGUUAUAUUAUCAGGGAUGUCAUAUCUUACAUUUUUCGUUAUGAAUAUCGAGAGAUACUUGGCAAUUUGUCGACCAUUUUACCAUAUGAGAAACGUAACGAAAGAGAGAUGUUUCAUACUAUCUGUGUGUCUGUGGCUGAUUUGCAUAGGGACAGGAAUUGCUCCCAUACUUGGCAUGGACAUUCAAUUUUUUGUCACAGCCCUUGCUGUGUUUGUUCUAGGAGGAACUUUCUUUAUAUAUAUUUCAAUUUAUAUAGUGGCUAAAAAAGGACGAAAUUCGAAGUUACGUUCAUCAAGUCGUACUGGCCAAGACGUGUUCUCAAUCACAAUAGAGGAAACCACAUCUGCACGUGAAUCCCAUGACUCCACUCGGAAAAAGAAAAAAGUCCCGUUUUUCCAUGAUUUACAACUUGCAAAAAUGUAUGUAGUUGUAGUUUUUUCUACCAUUCUCUUAAAUCUACCAAAUGCGCUAGUUUUAGCUCUGUCUAGUGAGCGAGUGGAGUAUGUAGAUGGAGUAGUUCAAGCUAAAAUCUGGACACUAACAUUGGUUGGCAUGAAUUCCACAUUUAAUUCAGUUGUUUUCUUCUGGGCCAAUGAAAGACUACGAAGUGAAGGUUGGAGAUUGUACAAAACGUUUUUAAGACUUUGAGACGAAUUUUGUGUGACAACUCAGUUCAAAAUAAUGAACACAUGAAAGUACUUAGACUUAGUAGGCCUACUGAAAGUGAAACAACUUCCUAGUACGUAUUAAACUCCGCGAUAAACUUCCUGAAUUAGGCUGUGGCAUCUAGCCAUGCACAGGUAGGCAUUGUUUGAUUGUUAUGUACAUAUCAAGCAACAUCCGCGUCUCGUGAUAGGAUGUGAAAGGAAUGACUUAUAACUGAGAAAAUGCUAUCAAGUUCUUGACUGUGAAUUAUAUAUUUGGCGACGUUUGUAAAAAAUUAUUUAACAUUUAAUUUACAUAUUUUUUUUCGUUAUUUAGCAUCUGAUGAUUUACAUUUUCACAAAAAUUGUUAUCUGUAUUAAAUAGCCUAACAUUUGCG